UAUAGAGCUUUAAUACAUACACCAGACAAGCAUAAUAUGUGAUAUCUUAACUGGUUAUUUAUUUUUGUUGGGGCGACAGAGAGAUAAAUAAAACACUCUUUUUUAAAAAAUAUUUAUAAAUAAACCAAUGAUCCUUAAUUCAAGAUAAAAGACUAAGUUACCUUA
rnacentral:rRNA from 1 species